CCGUACUACUCUCACCUCCACUCAAUUCCACUUAAAUUUGAAAAAGAGUUUUAAAAAUUAAGUUUUAGAAAAGUUUAAUAGGUUUUAUAAUUUUGUUUUAAGUACAGCAUUACCUGGCUGGGUCAGUCAGUGGAGAAUGCAACUCUUGAUCUUGGGGUUGUGAGUUAAAACCCCACACUGAGUCUAGAGAUUACUUAAAAAAUUUUUUUCAAGUGCCUCAGUAUGGAAACCAAAAUGAAUAAGAAAUAAUAGAGUAAAUGCCAUAAUGGAUUAUAUUCUUAUAAGACAACAAGGGAUAAAGAAAUAGGUGGUGGGUGAAGGAAGAUUACUGAAACCUAUUUUUCAAGGGGUUUACAAUCUAGUGGGUGAAAUAAUCAUAGAAAACAAUGUGGUAUAAUAAAAUACGUUUCAAGAUAACAUUGACAUCUAAGAUGGACGAGUAUUACACUAGAAAGAAUUUUUUAAAUACAGAGAAAUUGAGUGACUACAUUCUAAUUAAAUCCUAGCAGAUGAUAGACUUACUUGAUUUUUUAAGUACCAAAAGAGAAGAAACUUCUAUUUUUAUUUUAUAAUGAAUUCACGUACCAAAAAGUGUAUUAGGGAAAAAAAAUCAUAUUCGAAUUGACGUCAAAGACAGACCUAGUUUAAAAUGCAAGAGACUCAUUAGUAGAAAAAUAUGUCUGAUAAAAAGAACAAAAUGAACAAAAAACAUGGAACCCAAUGAAUAAAUGAAAAAUGAUUAACAAAAAGGUUAACAAAAGGACUCAUAAUUGCCUUUCAGAGUAUUGCAAUUUUUAAAAGAGCUAGAAAAAUGAGCUUGCUGAUAAAAGAGUAGGGAAUUGAAAAUAUUGGCUAAAAAUAAAAAUAUUGGCUAUAAAAAUAAAUAAUUUUUUCUCUAUUGCCUUUUAACAAGAAAAUUAAGGGAAAUGUACAGUUAGGGAAUAACAGUGUCUUUACAGAAGGCUGUGAGGGAAAGGAAGGGAAAAGUACAUUGAAUGUGAAUCAGUCAAAGGGAAAGAGUAUUACUUCAACAGUACUCAAGGAGCUUGGGAUGAGUCUACUGAUGCAUUUAGAGCCAACUGAUAAAUGAGGGUACCCCCACUGAAUUACUGUAGUAGCCUUUUACAAGUCCCUCGCUUUGUUCUCUGGCUUGGUUCAGUCCAGUUGCAACACUGCAACCAUAAUGUCCUGUUGAAAGCUUGUCAGAUCAUGCCAUUCUUCUGCUCAAAGUUCUUAAGUGAUCCCCAUGUCCUUCAGAGUAUGGGUUAAGGCUUUAUAGUAUCCUAGAAGGUCCUAUAUGAUUUGGUCACAGUUUCCUCUCUGACUUCCUCUCCUGUCUUUUUCCCGUAGAUCUCUCUGAGUCACACCAGCAUUCUUGAAGUCCCUACAACAGACUAGGCCUCCCUCAGCCUUUGCUCCAGCAUCCAUCAAAGGAUGACCCAGGGAUCUCUGAUAACUGUCUUUAUCCACCAGGAUAUUGCUUACCUUUGGAGAUAUUUAAGGCUGAGGUUUAAGUUGGGCACAGCUGGGAUUUGGCUGCUCUAGUCUCAUGGCCGUGACCCCUGGGUGGCUCAGUCUCGGCUCCUGAUGUUCCAGGUCAUCACUACUCAGAGAGUGCAAGAGAGAACAAAAGCAAGGAGAGUGGCAGAGGGAGAUGGAGAAGCAGACUUCCUUCUGAGCAGGGAGCCUGGCCCCAGGUUCCACCAGGCUUGACCCCAGAACCCUGGGAUCAUGACCUGCACUGAAGGCAGACAUUUAACCCUCUGAGCCACCUAUGUGCCCCAGAAUGAUGAGAAAGAUGAGACUCCAUGCGCUUGAACUCUCCAUUUCCCUGAUCCUCUGAAUAAAGAGACCAGACCACAGAGGCCGAACAAGUUGCCCAUGUUCACACAGCUCAACGCGUUUCUCAACCUGAACUUAGACCUUUCAGACUUGCCAGCUUUAUAAAAAGCACUGUGACCGACUGUUUCGUCUGCAGGAUUUGAGAACCUAAUUCAAGGAGUCUCUUCCACACUGUAGAAACAGAUCGUCAGAUACCUGGAUGGCUCAGUCAGUUAAGUAUCCGCCUUUGGCUCAGUUUAUGAUCCUGGAGUCCUGGGACCGAGUCCCUUUCCCUCAGCCACCCCCUGCCACCUCACUCGUGCUUUCUCUUUCACUUUCUCUCUCUCAAAUAAAUAAUGUCUUUGAAACAAAAUAAAUAAAUAGAUUGUCACCCAGCAUAAACAGAAUAUGUGGGAGCAUUCACUCUUACUUUAAAAAAAAAAAAACUUAUUGAUAAUUUAAUUAUAUAUAGGAUACAACAAGGUUUUUUGUAAACAGCAUGUCUCAGAAUUUAGUUAAAGAGACUAUAUUGAAGGUAUUAAGUUUUGAGAGAGUGUUACAGAUAAUAAAUGCUAUAGGAAUUUGGAUUGGGACACUAGUAGAUGGUGUAAUGGAAAAAUCAUUAGACAAAAAAAAUCAUUAGAUAAUGAGUCAAAAGACACCAGUUCCGACACCAACCGAACCACUCCUAGUUCUUUAACCCUUAAGGUUCUUAAUUUCUCUGUGCUUCAGAUUUGUCAUUUAGAAACUGCUGAUAGUAAUGCUCCCUUCUUUCCUCACAGGGUUUUUAAAAUUAUAUGUGCAAAAAUGUUUAUAAAACUAUAAUGAACUGUGUAAACAAAUGAGAGAUACUGUUUUCCCUCUUUUCUUAUUUUUUUAAAGAUUUUAUUUACUUAUUUUUUUUAAUUUUAUUUAUUUAUUUGACAGACAGAGACCACAAGUAGGCAGAGAGGCAGGCAGAGAGCAAGAAGGAGGAAGCAGGCUCCCUGCUGAGCAGAGAGCCCGAUGCGGGACUCCAUCCCAGGACCCUGGGAUCAUGACUUGAGCUGAAGGCAGAGGCUUUAACCCACUGAGCCACCUAGGCACCCCAAGAUUUUAUUUACUUAUUUGACAGAGAAAGAGAGAUCACAAGUAGGCAGAGAGGUAGGGGGUAUGGAGCAAGCUCCCCGCUGAGCAGAGAGCCUGAUAUGUGGCUAGAUCCCAGGACCCUGACAUUAUGACCUGAGCUGGAGGCAGAGGCUUAACCCAUUGAGCCUCCCAGGCACCUCUGUUUUCCAUCUUUUAUUAGCACCAUAGCUUCAUGAUUCCUGAGAACGAUGAUAAUUUAUGUGUCAGUUUGACUAGGCUAUUGUGCUCAACCGUUUCAUCAAACAUUAAUCUAGAUGUUGCUGUGAAGGUAGUUUUAAUUUUUUUAUUAAAAUUUUUUAGAAGAUUUUAUUUGUUUAUUUGUUUAUUUGAGAGAAAGGGAGAAGCAGGGAGCCUGGCAAGGGGCUCAAUCCAGGGACCUUGAAAUCAGGACCUGAGCCAAGGCUUAAGUGACUGAGCCACCCAGGCGCGCCUGAGGGCAGUUUUUAGAUGUGAUUGUCAUUUAAAUCUGUAGACUUUGAAUAAAGCAGAUUACCCUUCAUAACAGGAGUAGGCCUUCCAAUCAGUUGAAGACUUAAGAAAAAAACUAGAGUCCCUACCCCACCAAAAAAGGGAAUUCUGCCUCCUGACUGACUGUAGACUCAAGACAGCAACAUCAACUCCUGCAAGAACUGGCAGCCCACCGACAGCCCUUCAACUCUCAUAGUGCCAGCGCCUAUAUUUGUAUGAGUCCGUUUUUUGAAAUACAUCUCUCUGUGCAACCAAUGUGAGGUGUGUGUGUGUGUGUGUGUAUACAUAUGUGUGUGCACAGAUACACAUUCACACACAUACAUAUCCUGUUGGUUCUGUUUCGCUGAAGAAUGCUGACUAAUGCAAUAGCUGCUCUGAAUAAAGGACUUACUUUGAUAAAAAAAAAAAUGUAGAAAGCAAUUAAAGCAACUUCAGAAGGUACUAUUUUACCCUUGACAUAUUUUUUGUUGGUCAACUUUCAAAUAUAGAGGAAAUAUAGAGUGUGUGUCAUGAUGCUAUCUUCCCUUAUUCCUAUGAAAUAUGUGCCCUUAAUAUACCCAAGUAGGAUAAAGGAUGAAACAAGAAUGUUUGCUCUUGUCUGAGCUGUUGAUCUGCCUUUGGGGACUGAAUGUGUGUCUUUGCUCAAGGAAUUGCCUGCAUUAGAAAUACCUGCCUUAAGGUGCCUGGGUGUCUCAGUUGGUUAAGCAUCUGCCUUUGGCUCAGAUCAUGAUCCUGGAGUCCUGGGAUCAAGUCCCACACUGGGCUCCCUGCUCAGUGGGGAGCCUGCUUCUCCCUCUCCCUCUGGCCCUCCACCUGCUUGUACUCACUGUCUCUCUCUCAAAUAAAGGAAGGAAGGAAGGAAGGAAUACCUGCCUUCCCACUCAUUCUCUGUGCAAAUGGGAUGCAACCCAUUCUUUCAAGCCCAGUUCAAUGACCCUUCUGUGCGGAAAUGCACAAUUCUUCUAGCUGAAAGUGGUUACUACUUCCUUUGAACUCUGUUCCUCUUUUAGUAUUCAUCACUGUAGGUCCUGAAUUAUAGUGACGUGUGUGUUUCUGUUGUGCUGACCUCUAGAAAUGACAAUUUUCUUGAAGGUAACAGUUACUGAUAAAUCAUAGUUUUCAUCAGAGCCUACUCUAGGUCCUUGCCUGACAUAUCCUGAUAAAUAUAUGCUGAAUAAAUAAAAUUUUGUGGGUCAUUUUCGUCUCUGGACUUCAAGUCAUUCUCUCCCCUUUGUGCAAUAACAAGUCCUAUAAGAAACUUCUUCAGAGUGAUUAUAACGUUUUAUGUAUAAUGGUGGUCCAGUGGUGAGUAUUUAUUACAUAGUAUAGGAAUGAACAGUAGCUGCAUGGGGCUUUAGCUAUGAGCUUGAAAGUUGGCCUAAAAUCACAUUUUAAAUGAGGAAAUUUUAUGAGCAGAGGUAAUAAAAUCACACAGGCUUGGUGACUGUACAGUAACCAAGGUACUUCCUUGUUCUCCCAUGACUUAUUCCUGAUAUUUAUCAGUGAUAUAAAUUCACUGCUAAAAUUAUGAUGGAAGCAAAGUACAAGUGUCUGUGUACCCAUCAAAUGCUUCACUUUCAAAGAUAUUUCUGUGCCCUCAAUGAACAGCAUGUACUUUCCAUCCAAAUUGGGAACACUUUACUAACUUCACAUUAUGUGAGUAGACACAGUGGCACAGAGAUACAAUGACUUCUUAGGGGAAAAAAGCAGAGAUGAAAUCUAUUUUAGAUCGAAGAAUUUUAAAAUUCUAACUCAGUGUGUUUGGCUCCAAUAUUCCUCGUGCCUCUGGGGGAAAAUUCAUCAAAAUGGUUUACAGAGAGGGCACCUGGGUGGCUCAGUAGGUUAAAGCCUCUGCCUUCCACUCAGAUCAAGAUCCUAGGGUCCUGGGAUCGAGCCCCGCGUGGGCUCUCAGCUCAGUAGGAAGCCUGCAUCCCCCUCUCUCU